UCACUCUCUAGAACUACUCAAAGG
rnacentral:miRNA from 1 species